rnacentral:rRNA from 1 species
UACGUAGGGUGCGAGCGUUGUCCGGAAUUAUUGGGCGUAAAGAGCUUGUAGGCGGUUUGUCGCGUCUGCCGUGAAAAUUCGAGGCUCAACCUCGAACUUGCGGUGGGUACGGGCAGACUAGAGUGUGGUAGGGGAGACUGGAAUUCCUGGUGUAGCGGUGAAAUGCGCAGAUAUUAGGAGGAACACCGAUGGCGAAGGCAGGUCUCUGGGCCACUACUGACGCUGAGAAGCGAAAGCAUGGGGAGCGAACAGG